rnacentral:ncRNA from 1 species
CUAUGACUUUGGUCAUGGCGGAAGGAG